CUUUUGUAGAAUGAACCGGCGAGUUACGAUCUGAUGCAAGGUUAAGCAGAAAAUGUGGAGCCGUAGCGAAAGCGAGUCUGAAUAGGGCGAAUGAGUAUUUGGUCGUAGACCCGAAACCAGGUGAUCUACCCUUGGUCAGGUUGAAGUUCAGGUAACACUGAAUGGAGGACCGAACCGACUUACGUUGAAAAGUGAGCGGAUGAACUGAGGGUAGCGGAGAAAUUCCAAUCGAACUUGGAGAUAGCUGGUUCUCUCCGAAAUAGCUUUAGGGCUAGCCUCAAGUGAUGAUUAUUGGAGGUAGAGCACUGUUUGGACGAGGGGCCCCUCUCGGGUUACCGAAUUCAGACAAACUCCGAAUGCCAAAUAAUUUAACUUGGGAGUCAGAAUGUGGGUGAUAAGGUCCAUAUUCGAAAGGGAAACAGCCCAGACCACCAGCUAAGGUCCCAAAAUAUAUGUUAAGUGGAAAAGGAUGUGGCGUUGCCCAGACAACUAGGAUGUUGGCUUAGAAGCAGCCAUCAUUUAAAGAGUGCGUAAUAGCUCACUAGUCGAGUGACACUGCGCCGAAAAUGUACCGGGGCUAAACAUAUUACCGAAGCUGUGGAUUGUCCUUUGGACAAUGGUAGGAGAGCGUUCUAAGGGCGUUGAAGCAUGAUCGCAAGGACAUGUGGAGCGCUUAGAAGUGAGAAUGCCGGUGUGAGUAGCGAAAGACGGGUGAGAAUCCCGUCCACCGAUUGACUAAGGUUUCCAGAGGAAGGCUCGUCCGCUCUGGGUUAGUCGGGUCCUAAGCUGAGGCCGACAGGCGUAGGCGAUGGAUAACAGG
rnacentral:rRNA from 1 species